GUUCCCCGCCCCUCCCCGAAACUUUGCUCCAAUCCGCACACGUGCCCGCCAGGCUCGCUGCUUAACCCUCGCAGUGCUUCUGCCCUUCAGGCUGGCGGCUCCCCGGAGCGCGCCCAGUCGGCCCUGCCUCGCCGCGCCCCCGCCCCUGGGCUCUGGGAACGCGCGGUCCCGCUAGCCUGAAGACCAGCUGAUGGCCGCGGAGCCCACUCGGUAUCUGCACCAGCUAGGCCCCUGGCCCCCAGAGCUGGCCGUUACUGCACUGUCUCUACUCCCGGCUUUAAACAGGAGGAAGGGAGCUGAACGGAACCUUCGAGCUUUGCAAGUGUCUUGCUGUACCCCUGCACCCAUCAAACAGAAAGACUGAAAGCCAGGAGUGGCCAGUCACCCCAGUACUCAGGAGACUGAGGCUGAGGGUUCAUGAGUUACAUAGGACAACCUGGACUGUAGAGGGAGCCUUAGGGUAGGGGUGAAAUAAGAGGUGCUGGGAGGAGCCACAGGUACUAAGUAAACCUCACUCUAGUUUGCAUAUUGAUAGGUAGGAGAGUCUUUUCAGACCCAGCUCUGCCAGAGCCACUGGCCAGGGUACUUCCUAAAGCUGUUUUUCUAUUCACCUGGCAGUGGUUCAGGCAUGGGCAGGAGUGUACAGUCUCAAUGCCCACCCCCAGGUAGCACUUGAUCUGGUGGAAUUUCUGUCCAGAAAUCUGGAUACCAAGGCCCCAUGAACAAGGGUUCUGUGGGGUCAUAAAGGACCAGUGAAUGGGGUCCGGUGACACAAAAUUGCUGGGGAAUUGUUCCUGACUCAGCCUUAGCCUUAGUGAGGAAGGGUCUCUAGUCACUGAUAUCCUACACUUUGUCUCUAUCCUGUAUGAGACUAAGUAGAUUCCCUGAAUGGGGGCUACAGGAUUCUGACCUAGAGCUGAGCCCAUCCCCGAGAGCAGGGCAGGCAGGUAUCACCCAGCAUGGUAAUGUCUAGACAAAGAGCUGAGGAUGGGGAACAUUCAAGGGAUGGACCCAGAACGGAUGCAAGUUUUGAGGAAGACAAGCCCUGGACCCCUGAAGGACUGCCAUGCCACAAUCAGACCUCCCCACAGCCCUAAAUCCUGGUGUGUCACCAUCCACAUGGGAGAAAGGGGAAGGGAGGCAGUAUUAGCCAAGAUUUAUAUGCUGAGAACUCCAAGCCAAGGUAGUGCCCUUCUGGCUUAGGUGCUCCAACUAUGCCCCAGUCAUCAGGGCCAGAGAGGCUUUAUGACAUAGACCUUCUGUCAAGAUUAGGUUUUGUCAACUUGACACAAGCUAGAGUCAUCUGUGAAGAAGAAAGCUCAACUGAGGAAUGGACUCUAUCAGAUUGGCUUGUAGACAAGUCUGAGGAGCAUUUUCUUGAUUACUGAUUGAUGUGGGAGGACCUAACCCCCUGUGGAUACUGCCAUCUCUGAGCAGGUGGACCUGUGUAUUAUAAGAGAGCAAGCUGAGCAAGCCAUGGAGAGCGAAUCAGUAAGCUGCUCUCCUCAGACAUUCCUACCUUAACUGCCUAGAGUACCAAGGGCCUGAGGUCUGUGCUGUGAGAGUAAGUAUGUACAGGAUUCAAAAGUACUGAAGAGGGACCUGGACUAUACCCUGCAUGCACAUACUGUGGCAAGGAGGAUGGUGAUAUUUCCUUCCUGAUGUACACAGGGACAACCCUUCUCGCCCGAGCUAGUAUCUCGCCGGCAAGAAUUCACUCAGACAACCGGAUCCUUCUACGGCAAAGCUUUUAUUGCUUCAACAUAAGGAAGACCCCGAACCUGGAAAAUGGCACUGCUUAUAUAGCCCGCAGCGUGACGUUUCAGCACCUGAUGUGGCGUAUAAUGGCAAUUGCUCACGGCACGGCUGUCCACAAACCCUGAGUGUACCAAACAAUAUCUGGAGCCUUUUGGAAGCAACCACAGCACAGACAGGAUGCUUCAGGGCUGGCUCUAGAAAAAGGAUAUUACCCAAGCACUUCCACAUUGCCUGCAGAGGUCUGUGACACUGAAGGUACCAGUGAGGUAAGAAGGUAUCAUCAGCAAGGUGAGAGGGCCUGAGAAAUUACCUACAUCCAUGCAAACUACAGGCUGCAGAGCACUGCUGGACAUGGAGGCUAACGAAUAACCAGGGCAACACCCACUAUAUCUGAGGCCUGGCUGCCUGACACACCAGCUUCUCCACUGUAAAGUGCUCUUUGUCUCAUCAAGAGCAGUCUUCUUUUCCCAUAAUGGCUGUCAGCACACCUCAAGUUUGCCUUGAUGAUAUCACUCUCCCAAAAUUAAUGCAACCUGCUGGUCAUGCUCACUGGCUUGGUAGGCAAGAAGUUACAUGCCUCAGAGGGCUUAGUAAAACAUAUUUCCAAGGGGUGGGAGACAAGCUCUGAAAAGCUCAGGAUUCUCCAGAGAAGCCUGUUGUGGGUGAUCUCAUGGUAGUGGGAAAUGUCAUAUUUUAUUUAAAGUGAGAGGUAAUUGGCAGGCAUGGUGGUACACACCUGUAAUCUUAAUAGUAGUAACUCUGGGACAGGUGAGCCAAGAUGCCAAGGCCAGCCUAGGGUCCACAGAGGACUAAAAAACACCCUGCAGAAGGUCAUCACAUUUCGUUCACUUCAAGAGGCAUGAGGGCAGAGGAACUCUGACUUUGGAUGUAGCCAUGCAGUGUAUAUGAGCACUGCACUCAGACUCAUUUCCUGGACAGUAGGUGAUAGUACUCUGGGGAGAGCUUGGGAGUACGCCUACAUUUCAGCACAAACCUCUGUAUGCUGAACUUCUGUGUGCUGAUGGAGAGAAGAAAAAUGUGCAGAAUGAAUUAAGGACACGUGUGUCCAACAGGCUCUCUGGUGGGGCACACCAGGGGUUUGUACUAAAGGAGAGAGGGUUCUUCCCGUGGCCAGAACCAAGGUAGGAACAUCAGCCUAUUAAGAUCAGCCCAGGCUUACACCUUAAAGGUAGUUUCCAGGUAAUAGGUCUGUUUGGGGAGAUUCUAGAAACUUUAGGAUGCAGGGCUGAGUUAAACAAAGCGGGUCAGUGAAGAAGUAUUUAGCUUAAUUCUAUCCCCACUCUACUUCCUGUUCCCUUUGAGGUGAACAGCCUCCCCCCUCUACUAGAUAUCAUCAUCAUAAUAUUCUCCACAAAUGCAUGGGACUAAGCCUCAGGCACUUCAUGCUUAUUGUAGCCAUGGAUGACCCAGGAGUCCUCAACUACCACUCAAGCUGAUAGUAGGCUGUGAUCCACAGGAUGCUGGCUUAGAAGGUGCCUGCCUGACUGCCUUCGAUGAUAGACUGUAAUGUAGGAAUACAAGUGAAGUCAACGCUUCCCUACCCAGAUGCUUCUGCUCAUUCAUCGCGGUUUAUCGAAUCAAUAGGAAGCCCAAGACACCAGCCUAGGAGAAAGGUCAUGGCGGCUGGAAAUGGCAACACCACAGACACAGACUGUCCAGCACAUCACAGGAUCAUGGGCCCCGAUGCUGAGAAUGGAGCUGCAGGAUUUAACGUUUGUCUUGCUAUGCUUUGGUCUUGUUUCACUUAAAUCCUUCCCUGUCAUUUCUUUUUCCUGUUGGAAUGAAGAUGCUUACUCUGUGCAGUAUUGUAUUUCAGAAGUACAUAACUUCAUUUUUGAUAUUACAGAAG
rnacentral:lncRNA from 1 species